UACGUAGGCAGCAAGCGUUGUUCGGAAUUACUGGGCGUAAAGAGUGUGUAGGCGGUGUUCUAAGUCUGUUGUGAAAUCUCCCGGCUUAACUGGGAGGGUGCGGCGGAAACUGGAAUGCUAGAGGAUGGGAGAGGUAAGCGGAAUUCCUGGUGUAGCGGUGAAAUGCGUAGAUAUCGUGAGGAACACCAGAGGCGAAGGCGGCUACCUGGACAAUUGCUGACGCUCAGGCACGAAAGCGUGGGGAGCAAAAGGG
rnacentral:rRNA from 1 species